GUAGGUGAACCUGCGGAGGGAUCAUUAACUUGUAAGUGCUCGUAAAAACAGCACUAUCAAAAACCCAAACAAACCAAACCCGUGAAAUCGCCACACUUUGUGUGGUAUUGCCAGCGCCGAAAUAUCGAAAAGCGCAACGGAGCAUUCAGUUGCUGCACAGCAGCGUGUCACCGCUUGGAAUGGAUGUUUGUGUGCGUCUAACGUUACUGUUAGGCGGGCGCUUACAUCCUGGUGUCGCGGCCGCGCUUAG
rnacentral:misc_RNA from 1 species